UUGAUGGGGUUUUUUAUGUGAUUCUGAGAUUAAACAACUUUGUGUUUCUUCUAGAGCUAUCUUUAUUCAACAACCUAAUCUUCUUGAACUCGAAGCUCUUGUUAAAAUCUGUGGAGGAAUUAUAGGGCUAGGAGAAGCUGGAGAAGACUGAGUUGGUGUGUUGCACACUCUAGCAACAUCCCAUGAGCACCUAGAAAGUGUUCCCAUCAACGCACUGCUGGGAGUGAAAUGCACACCUCUUUGACACCAAAAGUGUCUACUUUCAUCAUCCAAGGACAAUACUAUCCAUCUUUGGAAAAUGAGUUCUGAUAGUGGUAUUGUCCGCUGACACCAUGUGCAUGACCCCCAGUUGGAAACUACAGUCAACCUAAUGGCUUGAUUUGAUGAACGCCAUCUACAAUUUGUAGUUGGAAUCAGGAAAGGAUUGUGGUAGUAAUGGGCUGGGUGGAUUGCGGGUGGAUUCAGCAGGUGAACAUGUGAGUGGGGGUG